UGUUUAAUGUGGAAUUGUGGCCCUAAAAGAACACAGCCUCAGGUAAAUAACCGCCUGCACGUGGACAUGACAUGGCGAGGAAAGUCAAAGAUUUGGAAACAAAUGCUCUGAAGUCUGUGUGAAGAGGCGACGAUAUGAUGGGGAUGAACUGGUCCUAGAGAAAAGAUCAGAUCUGUUGAGGAGGCAAAGAAACUCUUAGGAUGGUUACCCUUCAAACGCUCUUUGGAUCACCGUAUUGUUUCAAGUCAAGCAAGACUCAAAGAACAAGAAAGAAAAACAAUUUCACAAGCGAUAGACAAGUUUACAGCAAAG